GGCGCGAAACCUCUGCAAUGCGCGAAAGCGUGACAGGGGAACUCCGAGUGACGGAAACUUAGUUUCCGCCUUUUGCCAAGUGUAAACAGCUUGGAGAAUAAGGGUGUGGGCAAGACUGGUGGCAGCCGCCGCGGUAACACCAGCGCCUCGAGUGGUACCCACGUAUACUGGGCCUAGAGCGUCCGUAGCCGGCCUGAAAAGUCCUCUGUGAAAUAGUGGGGCUCAACUCCACUGCGCGCAGGGGAUACUGCCGGGCUUGGGAGCGGGGGAGGUAAGGGGUACACCUAGGGUAGGGGUAAAAUCCGUUGAGCCUAGGUGGACCACCAGUGGCGAAGGCGCCUUACCAAAACGCGUCCGACGGUGAGGGACGAAAGCUGGGGGAGCGAACGGGAUUAGAUACCCCGGUAGUCC
rnacentral:rRNA from 1 species